AGUGAACGCUGGCGGUAGGCCUAACACAUGCAAGUCGAACGGCAGCACAGGAGAGCUUGCUCUCUGGGUGGCGAGUGGCGGACGGGUGAGGAAUACAUCGGAAUCUACUCUGUCGUGGGGGAUAACGUAGGGAAACUUACGCUAAUACCGCAUACGACCUACGGGUGAAAGCAGGGGAUCUUCGGACCUUGCGCGAUUGAAUGAGCCGAUGUCGGAUUAGCUAGUUGGCGGGGUAAGGGCCCGCCAAGGCGACGAUCCGUAGCUGGUCUGAGAGGAUGAUCAGCCACACUGGAAAUGAGACACGGUCCAGACUCCUACGGGAGGCAGCAGUGGGGAAUAUUGGACAAUGGGCGCAAGCCUGAUCCAGCCAUACCGCGUGGGUGAAGAAGGCCUUCGGGUUGUAAAGCCCUUUUGUUGGGAAAGAAAUCCAGCUGGCUAAUACCCGGUUGGGAUGACGGUACCCAAAGAAUAAGCACCGGCUAACUUCGUGCCAGCCGCCGCGGUAA
rnacentral:rRNA from 1 species